AUACGGAGGGGGCUAGCGUUGUUCGGAUUUACUGGGCGUAAAGCGCACGUAGGCGGUAUAUCAAGUUAGGCGUGAAAGCCCCGGGCUCAACCCGGGAACUGCGCUUAUUACUGAUAAACUAGAGUCCGUGAGAGGGUAGCGGAAUUCCCAGUGUAGAGGUGAAAUUCGUAGAUAUUGGGAAGAACACCAGUUGCGAAGGCGGCUACCUGGACCGGUACUGACGCUGAGGUGCGAAAGCGUGGGGAGCAAACAGGAUUAGAUACCCCUGUAGUCC
rnacentral:rRNA from 1 species